rnacentral:rRNA from 1 species
AUGGCCGCCGCCGCCCCGGCCCGCAGGCUCCUCCUGCGCCUGCGUCUCCCACUCCCCCUCUGCAACCCAGCGCCGUCCCCCGUCCCGCUCCUCUCCCACCUGACGCCGCACCUCCACCCACCACCGCCACCGCAGCCAACGCUCCCGGGCGCCCCGGCCCCGGACCCGAAGCUCCGGGACCUCCUCUUCGCCUUCCACCCCGCCGUGCACGUAUACCCGUCCCUCGUCGACGUCCCGAGAGGAGGGCUGGGCGACCUUGACGCGCGCGAGGACGGAGGGGGGGCCAAGGAGGCGGAGGUGUGGGCGGACAGCGUCAAGAAGAAGCGGAAGCGCAAGAUGAACAAGCACAAGCUCCGCAAGCUCCGGAAGCGCCUCCGCCGCCAGACCUGA